GAUGAACGCUGGCGGCGUGCCUAAUACAUGCAAGUCGAGCGAACGGACGAGAAGCUUGCUUCUCUGAUGUUAGCGGCGGACGGGUGAGUAACACGUGGAUAACCUACCUAUAAGACUGGGAUAACUUCGGGAAACCGGAGCUAAUACCGGAUAAUAUUUUGAACCGCAUGGUUCAAAAGUGAAAGACGGUCUUGCUUUCACUUAUAGAUGGAUCCGCGCUGCAUUAGCUAGUUGGUAAGGUAACGGCUUACCAAGGCAACGAUGCAUAGCCGACCUGAGAGGGUGAUCGGCCACACUGGAACUGAGACACGGUCCAGACUCCUACGGGAGGCAGCAGUAGGGAAUCUUCCGCAAAGGGCGAAAGCCUGACGGAGCAACGCCGCGUGAGUGAUGAAGGUCUUCGGAUCGUAAAACUCUGUUAUUAGGGAAGAACAUAUGUGUAAGUAACUGUGCACAUCUUGACGGUACCUAAUCAGAAAGCCACGGCUAACUACGUG
rnacentral:rRNA from 1 species